rnacentral:lncRNA from 7 species
AGCUUGACUGAUGCCACAGUAUGCUUUCGUAGGUUCUGGUUCCAGGAAAUGAACAACAUGGUGUGCUGCAUUUCGUAUAUCUAUGAUUUUGUGAGGAGGAGAGACAAGAAAUGUAGAACUGGGUGCUGUUGGUGAGCUCUGCACUGAGUUAUCUGAUACUAAUCAUUUCACUCUGAAUAGCCUCAGUUUACAUUUCUGUAAUUGAAAGAUCUAGCUGGUGAUCUGCUGGGGUAGGAGAUACAAAAUAAUUGGAAAGAAUGAAAAGAAAUUCUGUGGGAGCAUGGAUUUCCAGAGUGACCAGAACACGAGCCACUCAUUCAUUGCUCUUGAGCAUGAAGAAGUGUGAAACUCUUCAGGUCAAAAUUCGUAUUUACUUGACAGUAAGUGAUGCUUUGUUUUAGCUAAGAUGUAACUGCAUCAUGAAGGGAAGUAAUACAACAACAAAGACCAUUUUCUGCCACUCCAAAGUUACUGCUUCUACUGCAAAUCAUCUGAGGAAAUAAUCUACUUGCUUGUUAAUGUUUCUUCAGAAGUUUGGAGUUCUGGAGAACAAAUAUGCUUAAGAACAUGAACUUCAGCAUGGUCCUUCAAAGAAUAAAACUUAGUGAAUUCCUAGUUGAAGUACAAACCCAAUUUUAAACAGAAGCCUGCCUAUAAUUUCAAACUUCUCUUUAUCACUACAUUUCCCCCCUAGCUCCUGUGCUGAGCUGAACAGAAAGCUGUCACUAUAAAAAGUAAUACAACGUAGUAGGGAAAAUGAUGCAAUGAUUGAUUUAAUAACUCAGUACUCCUUUAUAAUUUACUGGAGUUUUAGGGGGUAGUGUUGUAUUUUACCUGUUAACUAAUAUUAAAACAAAUGUGACCACUUUUGCAUCUGGUUUUUUUCUCUUCUAAAUGUAUUUUCUCUUAUAUCAGCAUUUUGUGGCAUUCUCAUUGCUAGUCCUAAUGGAUAAUUGAUAAGAUUAAUUCAUUUUCUGUGAUUUCAGGAAGUCCGUAUUUUAGAGAUGCAACUACUUUUCAAAAACAACUCAAAUUUGGGAUUCUUCAAAAAUGUUGCACUUAUCCUAUUACAUAUACAUUGUUUCCUUUAGAAAUAAAGUAACCAUGUAUCUGGAAAAUGUAAUGCGUAACAUUGAACAUAACAUUUUUUGUGGAUGACUUUCAGUACAACAAGAUAAUGGAAAUUAUAAGAUGCUUUCUACAUGUGGCAGCUCAUGGUCUUCUUCAAUUGAUAUUUCUCUUCAGAUAUCCGUAGCAAGAUAAAAGCUAUUAAAAACCUUAUGAAAGAAGUCCUUUAGGUAGCAAGCUUGUUUUAUGCUUUGGGAUUUAAAUUUCAUGGGACAUAAUUUCUUAAGAUUUCCAUGUUUCGCUCAUGUGAAAUUUUGUUUUUGAAGUGUGAUUGUCUCUAGUGACAUACGUGAGAGUCUAGCAUAACUCUGAGGCUACAAGUGAUAAAAGUUAGGCACCUGCAUGAGAGUUGGAUUGGUUUGAGACCCUUGACUGAGAAGGAGAUGAAAGGAGACAUUGCCCACUCAGUCAAUGGUUAAAAGGUGAUAAAUAGUAGAUUGUUUAGAAACUGAGAAGAACAGAAGUUCAAAACUGAAUAAUGGAAGAGAAUAAGACAGAACAGUAAUGUACAUUAAAUAAUGAAUGUAAUUCUGAUAAUAUAUAUAUGUAUAAAAUCCUGCAAAACCUACAGAUGUAGAACUAUCCUUUUGAGAGGAGUCUAUGCUUUUUGAUGUAUUAACGUCUGUUUUAAGAAAACCUUUUUUUGUGAUUGCUUGGAGAGCUCUAGUCUGAUCUAGUGAAAUAGCCUUAAUUAUCCAUAUGCUGCAUCUCAUUUAUAAACAGUGGAAAAAAGCAGUGUUUUUUUUCCUGCUGAUACUGCCAUCGUUGUUGUCGCCUGCUGCUGUGGAUAUCGCUGAAGCAAUUAGUUUCCUUCUUUCCUUCUGUACUACAGUAUGUUAAUUCCUGGAAUGCAUUUUGUGUCCUGAUGUGUAUUUGGUAAACUCAGUAGCCUUUCUGCAAUGCUUACAGUUGAAAACAUGUUCCUAAGGCCCAUGGCUGCAAUAAAUGCAUGUCUGGCUU